GACGAACGCUGGCGGCGUGCUUAACACAUGCAAGUCGAACGGAAAGGCCCUGCUUUUGUGGGGUGCUUGAGUGGCGAACGGGGGAGUAACACGUGAGUAACCUGCCCCUGACUUUGGGAUAACUUCAGGAAACUGGGGCUAAUACCGGAUAGGAGCUCCUGCUGCAUGGUGGGGGUUGGAAAGUUUCGGCGGUUGGGGAUGGACUCGCGGCUUAUCAGCUUGUUGGUGGGGUAGUGGCUUACCAAGGCUUUGACGGGUAGCCGGCCUGAGAGGGUGACCGGCCACAUUGGGACUGAGAUACGGCCCAGACUCCUACGGGAGGCAGCAGUGGGGAAUAUUGCACAAUGGGCGGAAGCCUGAUGCAGCAACGCCGCGUGCGGGAUGACGGCCUUCGGGUUGUAAACCGCUUUCGCCUGUGACGAAGCGUGAGUGACGGUAAUGGGUAAAGAAGCACCGGCUAACUACGUG
rnacentral:rRNA from 1 species